GACGAACGCUGGCGGCGUGCCUAAUACAUGCAAGUUGAGCGCUGAAGGUUGGUACUUGUACCAACUGGAUGAGCAGCGAACGGGUGAGUAACGCGUGGGGAAUCUGCCUUUGAGCGGGGGACAACAUUUGGAAACGAAUGCUAAUACCGCAUAAAAACUUUAAACACAAGUUUUAAGUUUGAAAGAUGCAAUUGCAUCACUCAAAGAUGAUCCCGCGUUGUAUUAGCUAGUUGGUGAGGUAAAGGCUCACCAAGGCGAUGAUACAUAGCCGACCUGAGAGGGUGAUCGGCCACAUUGGGACUGAGACACGGCCCAAACUCCUACGGGAGGCAGCAGUAGGGAAUCUUCGGCAAUGGACGAAAGUCUGACCGAGCAACGCCGCGUGAGUGAAGAAGGGUGUCGGAUCGGAAAACUCGGUUGGUAGAGAAGAACGUUGGUGAGAGUGGAAAGCUCAUCAAGUGACGGUAACUACCCAGAAAGGGACGGCUAACUACGUG
rnacentral:rRNA from 1 species